rnacentral:lncRNA from 1 species
GGGUGGUCUUCCACAAAAAAAAGUGUGUCUCGGAACUUCCUUAGUGCAGUAGGACGGGGGGGCCUGCCGAAUCCCACAGAGAGUACUAUGUGGGGGAAGGGUUCCUCUGAAGCGUCUCGGGAAAAGUCGUGAGGGGGUGACGGUUGCUCGGUGCCUACGGGUCCCGACUGCUCGCUGCCUUCUUUGAGCCCAGUACCGACGUUCGCAGGGGGGAUACCUGGAUACUACUGGGGUUACCUGGAUACUUCUGGCGUGUUACCUUGGAUCAGUGAGGAGUGGGGGUUAGUUUCCCGGCGACGCGACCCUCUGAGGAGGUCCCGCGGAGGGUCGCCGAGUAUUAUAUGGUGAGCUGGCUGUCAAGGAUUGUGAGUCCCGCUGCCAAAAUUUUUUUUGGUGCGCGGGCGACUGGAAAAAGAGGGUUGGUCUUGUGCCGAUACGCGUAACGUCGCAGCGAGUCCCAAGAGCUAGUAACCAUUUUUGGCGGGGGGCGAUGGCCUCGGUAUUGUCAAGCCAUUCUCUCAUUCAUUUGGGAGGGUGGGGAGAAGUGUUUGCCGAGGCCGUUCAAGCUCCGCCUGGUCGACCACCACUGUGACCGCCACCGCGCUCGAUCUCUAUUGCAAGCUCAGGUGAAAUUCCUGAUAAACUUGGAGGGGGUGUGGGACGCGUUCGCAGUGUGGGCCGAGGAGUCAUAACAUCCCAGGUCGGAAUGUGAAAAUGGAACUUCGAAACCGGUGAGAGUUCUCUCGUCGGCUAGGGGUUUCACAAAAGUAACAUUUCUAUAAAUUUCUAUCCGACCCCUCCAUUAAUUUGGAGGGGCGAUGGGCCCCCGGGAUUGGACAUACUUCUUGCUGAUUUGUCUUUUGAGGAAAAUCCUUCGCGGUGAUGGUUACUUUUUCAUUUUUUAAUGUGUGUAUCGGCCUCGUCGGUUUCUCUCUUUCCUGGUCACAUUCCCGAAAAAGGCCGCAGCACCUAUGAUUCUCUUCCGGGGGGGUCUAACUCUCCCUCUCUCUCUAUCCUUCUCUUUGUCUGGCUCUCUCUGGCUUCACUUUUUGUGGUGUGUGCCUCUGGGGGUCUGGUUGGAAUUUGCCGUUGGCUUUUUUGCCCUCUCUUUUUGCCUUUUAUCCAUCGCAAAGAAGGGUGUGUGUGUUCUCACCUGGGGUUGGAAUGAAGGACGGGGAACCUCCUCGUCUUGUGAAGUGGGACCAUCUUUUAGGAUGAUGGCUUUUUGCUGCCUGGUGUGUGCUUGGGUGGGGUUUGGUGGUGGCAGUCUACCUCUCCCUUUCUCCGGUAAGACCAGAUGACUGGUUCGUCCGCUACUCUUGUGUUGGCCCUACCUUGGCCAACGGGAGUCGGCGACGCUCCAGACUGGAUGGCAUGAUGUGGUGG